rnacentral:misc_RNA from 1 species
GAUGAAGAACGCAGCGAAAUGUGAUAAGUAAUGUGAAUUGCAGAAUUCAGUGAAUCAUCGAAUCUUUGAACGCACAUUGCGCCCGUCAGUAUUCUGGCGGGCAUGCCUGUUCGAGCGUCAUUACGCCCCUCAAGUCCCCUGUGGACUUGGUGUUGGGGAUCGGCGAGGCUGGUUUUCCAGCACAGCCGUCCCUUAAAUUAAUUGGCGGUCUCGCCGUGGCCCUCCUCUGCGCAGUAGUAAAACACUCGCAACAGGAGCCCGGCGCGGUCCACUGCCGUAAAACCCCCCAACUUUUUAUAGUUGACCUCGAAUCAGGUAGGACUACCCGCUGAACUUAAGCAUAUCAAUAAGCGGAGGA